AACCAUGUUUUCUGUAGCUCUGCUGCUGCUGUUGGCAGCUGGAUGUGUGAAGUGUGAACAGUUGACACAGCCAGCUUCUGUGACUGUGCAGCCAGGUCAACGUCUGACCAUCACCUGUCAGGUCUCUUAUUCUCUUAGCAACCAUCACACAGCUUGGAUCAGACAGCCUGCAGGGAAACGACUGGAGUGGAUU